rnacentral:lncRNA from 1 species
AAUAGGUAGUCCUACUUCUUUAGUUUUUCAUAUAAAAAAGGCGUUCAACAAAUUUAUGUACAUUAUUAGUGACAAUCAUAUGUUAAGAAAUGACAAGCACGAGCAAAGGGGUGGAAAUAAGGAUAGAAAUAAGGAUAGGAAUAAGGAUAGGAAUAAGGAUAGGAAUAAGGAUAGGAAUAAGGAUAGAAAUAAGGAUAGAAAUAAGGAUAGAAACGUGGAUAGAAACAUGGAUGAAAACAAAAAACAAAAAGCGAAAAAAAAAAGGCAAAAAAAAAGAAGGAGAAAAAAAAAAUAUAUAUACGAACGACGUCACACAUAAUAAUAAAGACAAAUCCGAUGAUACAUUACAGAAAAGAGAAACAAACGAAGACCAACACCUAUAUUUAAAUAGCACUAAUAAAGAUUUUUCGUUAAAUUUUUUAAACUAUUAUAGUGAUGACUCUUUAAUAAAUGAAAAAGAUGACAUAAUGGCUAAUCGAAUGUAUGUUAUACGUUUGUUAAAUGAUUAUGAUUUAUCAUAUACAAACGAAUCAUUGUACGAUCAAGAUAGUCAUUUGCGUAGUAUAAAGCAAAAUAUGUAUUGCGAUGGAGAUAAUAUGAUAAUUAGAAAGAGAAGGAGUAGUGGUAGUGGUAACAGUAGUGGUCGUGAUAGUGGUAACAGUAGCAGUAGCAGUAGCAGUAGUAGUAGUAGUAGUAGUAGCAAUAGUAGUAGCAAUAGUAGGCGUUUUGAAUAUUAUAGAAAUAGCAUCGGUAGUAAUAUUAGUAGCUGUUCUGAUAGUAGUUGUAGUAGUGGAAAUUACAACGCAUUUAAAUACAAAUUAAAAACACGUAACAAUAAUAGUGUAGAUAAUUCAAAUUAUUUUAACAACUUAUUAUACAAUAGUAAUAAUAAAAACAACAAAGAGUUGCAAAGUUUGGUGAUAGAUAAUAACAUGUCUAUACAUUCGUCUGAUAUGGACAAAAUCCAGAAUGUGAACUCGUUAAAUAAGAAAGAAGGUCUUCGUAAUGAACGAUUGGAUAAUGGAAAAAUAAUGUGUAACAACACAACGGAUUCAAAAUUACAUAAAGAUGAUAACGACGCAUAUUGUAACAACACAACACAUGUAUUAUUAAAAAGAAAUGAAAUCAAUAAAUGUCAAAAAAGUAACAAAAGUAAACGUAAUGACAAGUAUGGAGAGGAGGAAGAGUCACCUCUUAUGUGUAGUAAAAAUAAUAGACUUAAAAAAUAUAAUACGAUGAUAAAAUCGAAAAAAGUAAAAAAGAUGGUUUUGCACUUUUUCAAAAAUACUUGUUUAAGCAUAUACUACAUUUUUUUUAAAAUAAAACUAAUUUGUAUAGGUACGUAUGUUUUGCUAUUUGACCUUAUGUUGUCAUUAUUGUUUUCAUUUAAUAUGAUUUUACAUUCGCUCAUAAGCAUAAUUGAUAAAAUAAGCAUAAAUGAUAGUAACACAUUAUUUAUCUUGUUUAAUAAAAAAAAUGAAUCUAAAAGAAAAGUGAUGAUUAGUAGUGUCGAAGAAAAUGAUACUCAAUUAAGCAUAAAAAAUUUAUUUUAUUAUUAUAUAAGUAUAUAUGUUAAUAUUGCUGUUUUAAUUUAUUACACUUUGUUUUAUAAUAUAAGAAGAAAAAACAAAAAGCCAUUUUUAAGCAAUAGAAAUGUUUUGAAAAAUCAGGUCAAAAAAGGAAUAAAAAAAAAAAACCAGACAAAAUUAUCGUACGUUACGAAUUUUUUUUUAAACAUAAUAUAUGUUAUAAAUAUAUUUGUAUUUGGUCAUCUAAUUUCUGUAUUCCUAUUACUCUUAACAAUUAAUAACUUGUUUCAAAGUAUUUUCAAAUGUUGUAUAGAUUUGGUUUAUCGACAAAGAAAAGACAAUUUUUUAAACUUUUUAAAUGUUAAUAAUAUAAAUCACAUAAAUAUAUUUAUUUAUAUAAAAAUAAAUCAAAUUUUAAAUAAAUACAUACACUUAAAAAAACCUUUCAAUUAUUUAUUAACACAUCAAAACCUGACUAGCUUACAAACUUUAAAAAAUAAUAGCUUUUUUGUUUAUACAAAAGAUUUGUUUUUUUUUAUUAAAGAAAAUAGUAUA